GACGAACCGUGCGAACGUUAUUCGGAAUCACUGGCUUAAAGCGCGUGUAGGCGGCCCGGCACGUCAGUCGCUGAAAUCCCCCGGCUCAACCGGGGAAGUGGCGUUGAUACGACCGGGCUGGAGGGGGUAGGGGGGACGGGAACUCACGGUGGAGCGGUGAAAUGCGUUGAGAUCGUGAGGAACGCCCGGCGGCGAAAGCGCGUCCCUGGACCCCACCUGACGCUGAGACGCGAAAGCCAGGGGAGCGAACGGG
rnacentral:rRNA from 1 species